GACGAACGCUGGCGGCGCGCUUAACACAUGCAAGUCGAACGAUGAACCACUUCGGUGGGGAUUAGUGGCGAACGGGUGGGUAACACGUGGGCAAUCUGCCCUUCACUCUGGGACAAGCCCUGGAAACGGGGUCUAAUACCGGAUACAACCACUACAGGCAUCUGUGGGUGGUGGAAAGCUCCGGCGGUGAAGGAUGAGCC
rnacentral:rRNA from 1 species